rnacentral:rRNA from 1 species
GAUGAACGCUGGCGGCGUGCCUAAUACAUGCAAGUCGAGCGAACGGACGAGAAGCUUGCUUCUCUGAUGUUAGCGGCGGACGGGUGAGUAACACGUAGAUAACCUACCUAUAAGACUGGGAUAACUUCGGGAAACCGGAGCUAAUACCGGAUGAUAUUUUGAACCGCAUGGUUCAAAAGUGAAAGACGGUCUUGCUGUCACUUAUAGAUGGAUCCGCGCUGGAUUGGCUAGUUGGUAAGGUAACAGCUUACCAAGGCAACGAUGCAUAGCCGACUUGAGAGGAGGAUCGACCAUCCUGGAACUGAGACACGAUCCAGACUCCUACGUGAGGCAGCAGUAGGGAAUCUUACGCAAUGUGCAAAAGCCUGACGGAGCAACGCGGCGUGAGUGAUGUAGGUCUGCGGAUCGUAAAACUCUGUUAUUAGGGAAGAACAGAUGUGUAAGUAACUGUGCAGAUCUAGACGGUACCUAAACAGAAAGCCACGGCUAACUACGU